GGCGGAUGAUGCAGAGUUCGAUAGAAAAAGAACAUGGUAGAGUAGUGGAAAGUACCUAAAUGAAGAUGGAAAAAAAAACAGAUAAUGAUGGACAGAUAAGUGUUGGCACAUCUCACAGAUGCGUGUGAAAAUCAUUCAUCCCAUCGACCAUUGUUGGCUAUCAAAGAAGAGAAACCUGUGCUCACA